rnacentral:lncRNA from 1 species
AUGCUGGAUCUCUGUUUAGUUGUCACUGUGUUAACCACAACCAACAUGCUGGAUCUCUGUUUAGUUGUCACUGUGUUAACCACAACCAACAUGCUGGAUAUCUGUUUAGUUGUCACUGUGUUGACCACAACCAACAUGCUGGAUCUCUGUUUAGUUGUCACUGUGUUAACCACAACCAACAUGCUGGAUCUCUGUUUAGUUGUUACUGUGUUAACCACAACCAACAUGCUGGAUCUCUGUUUAGUUGUCACUGUGUUGACCACAACCAACAUGCUGGAUCUCUGUUUAGUUGUCACUGUGUUAACCACAACCAACAUGCUGGAUCUCUGUUUAGUUGUCACUGUGUUAACCACAACCAACAUGCUGCAUCUCUGUUUAGUUGUCACUGUGUUAACCACAACCAACAUGCUGGAUCUCUGUUUAGUUGUUACUGUGUUAACCACAACCAACAUGCUGGAUCUCUGUUUAGUUGUCACUGUGUUAACCACAACCAACAUGCUGGAUCUCUGUUUAGUUGUUACUGUGUUAACCACAACCAACAUGCUGGAUCUCUGUUUAGUUGUCACUGUGUUAACCACAACCAACAUGCUGGAUCUCUGUUUAGUUGUCACUGUGUUAACCACAACCAACAUGCUGGAUCUAUGUUUAGUUGUCACUGUGUUAACCACAACCAACAUGCUGGAUCUCUGUUUAGUUGUCACUGUGUUAACCAACAUGCUGGAUCUCUGUUUAGUUGUCACUGUGUUAACCACAACCAACAUGCUGGAUCUCUGUUUAGUUGUUACUGUGUUAAUCACAACCAACAUGCUGGAUCUCUGUUUAGUUGUUACUGUGUUAACCACAACCAACAUGCUGGAUCUCUGUUUAGUUGUCACUGUGUUGACCACAACCAACAUGCUGGAUCUCUGUUUAGUUGUUACUGUGUUAAUCACAACCAACAUGCUGGAUCUCUGUUUAGUUGUUACUGUGUUAACCACAACCAACAUGCUGGAUCUCUGUUUAGUUGUCACUGUGUUAACCACAACCAACAUGCUGGAUCUCUGUUUAGUUGUCACUGUGUUAACCACAACCAACAUGCUGGAUCUCUGUUUAGUUGUCACUGUGUUAACCACAACCAACAUGCUGGAUCUCUGUUUAGUUGUCACUGUGUUAACCACAACCAACAUGCUGGAUCUCUGUUUAGUUGUCACUGUGUUAACCACAACCAACAUGCUGGAUCUCUGUUUAGUUGUCACUGUGUUAACCACAACCAACAUGCUGGAUCUCUGUUUAGUUGUCACUGUGUUUACCACAACCAACAUGCUGGAUCUCUGUUUAGUUGUCACUGUGUUAACCACAACCAACAUGCUGGAUCUCUGUUUAGUUGUCAUUGUGUUAACCACAACCAACAUGCUGGAUCUCUGUUUAGUUGUCACUGUGUUAACCACAACCAACAUGCUGGAUCUCUGUUUAGUUGUUACUGUGUUAACCACAACCAACAUGCUGGAUCUCUGUUUAGUUGUCACUGUCUUAACCACAACCAACAUGCUGGAUCUCUGUUUAGUUGUCACUGUGUUAACCACAACCAACAUGCUGGAUCUCUGUUUAGGGGUCAGUGCUCUAAAAUGA